ensembl:lncRNA
AGCAACAGCCUGUCAUUUGUGGCGUGCUUUUGAGGGAGUGAAUUGCCUUGAAGGUUGUGGAAUAACACUCAUGCUAAUCUGAGCGUCCUUGCAAGUGCUUUAAAGGUCUUAAACUAUCUGGAGAGUGUCUUAGGCCGAGUGUUCCCAGUGUGCUGCGAACCUGCACUAUACGCCUGUUCAGUGUGGACUUGCACUCCUGCCAUUCCCCCAGGGGCCGUUUUGAACCAGGGCCAAAACUUUCACAGCGGGUCAAAAGUCUGCACUCCUCCUCUCACUAACCCACAGGCGGGUGCCCUGCUCACCUCACACCAGAGGCAGACCCUGCUGGAGGACUGAGGUUAGCGCACACCGCUAACAGCACUGAAACCAGGGCAGUGCCGUAUGAUGGGCCCUUCAUGAUUUCCAAGCAAAGGAGUGCGGUUGCCCAGAGCAUGACUGUACAAAUGAAUGUACGUACACACACAUAUGCAUACAUUCUCCAUAGAUACAGCUCAUUCAUAUUGCUCAUGUUUGUUUGCUUUGGCAGGACGCGUCAGGGAAAACAUGUUGCCUUCUCUAAAGAGCUGAACCUUAAGGGCCCCCUAGAACAUAAAGAUGUGAUCUGAGCCCUCGGCCGUGUGGUUUCGGUCAGGAGGGACGCUAACCGAAUCCAGUUGGUAGCUAGUGUGCUGGAAUGAAUGUGGUGACAGGGCUAGUAAUUACCCACAGAAUGAAGGGCAGCAAUUGCUAAAGCCUAUUCAGUUCUUUUCUGCAUUAGGAGGCCAUUUUACAUGUCUCUCAAAAUGCACCACAAAGGAUGGCCAACACCCGUUUCUAUCUUUAGAAGGGGGAAUCCACCCAAAGCUGUCAAUCAUGUGGUCUAAUCUCUCAGAAAAAAAAAGGUAAGUCAGAGCACACAGCUUAAUACUGUAAAUACAUUAAUUUAUACAGAAAUAUAAAUUGAGAACAUCAGCCAUUUUCUCAAUGAAGGCAUCCCCAUUUAUUAGAUCAAGAAGCAUGAUUGUGAUUAUGUAGGGAAAAUGUGGGAGAAAAGUAAAGCAUGUGUACACCUGAAAAUAUGCAGCAUUUCUAAGAAAACAAGCACAGGACUAAAGAUUUAUCUGCUUCUGGACUUUACUCACUGCUUACUUUUUCUUGGACUCCGUCUAUGUUUUUCCAAGAGCUGGGAACUAUGCAGAAAAAGGUCAAAGAAAUAAUGAUUUGGAAAAAAAAAAAAUGUGUAUUAAUUUUUUGUAAUACUAAAUUACAGCCUUAUGAAAAGCAGGGAUUAAUGGACUCAGUCCUGCUUUGUAUAUCUCACUGGCACUCAGUGAAGAAACACUUUAUAAAUCACACUAGACG